GGUCACGAAGUCUUAUGGAAUUGCUGAUACUCGCAAAUUUUGUACAUUUACUCAACUGGAGUCAUUUUGCGAAGUCUUCUUCACGAUCAGAGGCUCGUGUAACUUUCUGAGGGUCAACUUUGAGCUUGCGCAAUACUACGGAUGUCAGGCGGAACUACAACUCGUAUUCAGAUACUUUCAGUUUGUCGUCGUGAAGACGUCUGCAGAUAUUUGCAGACGCGUUGAACAAUGGAUUCUGCUACAGAUAAGAAGACCUCUCUUCUGGACGAGCGCGACACUAGCAAGAUUUGUUGACCUCGACAAACUCACAAGUUAGAUAUUUAGUUCCGUAAUAGUACUGGCAUUCAAGUGACGUAGCUAUAUGGAUAAAUCGCCACUAAUUCGAUCAUACGCGUCUUCCUUCGUCUUCUUUAGUCCUUGGAUCGUACUCUGCGUUUUGCUCGCUAUUUUCUUGACGGUUUUUUGCUGCGGCGUUUGUUGGAGGAUACUUCUUGGGGAAAGCAAGGCAACGCCCGAGUCAGACAGCUCAGAUUACUCUUCUCACAAAGCAUACAGCGUCAACUAUGACGGAAACAGCCACGUCAUUCCCGCAUUUCGUGGUGCUCUACCGGUUGAAGAGUUUAUUCAGCCGCGUGCUGUGGUGGUGGACAGACAAUUGAUGAGUGUACCAGAAAAUCCACUCCUCACACCGAAGGGAACCAGUCAAUUAUUUAUAUACCAGGUCUGG